AACUUCUUCAAGUGUUUUGAAAACACUAAUCAGACUAAGUCUAGAAGUUU
rnacentral:tRNA from 1 species